rnacentral:rRNA from 1 species
GACGAACGCUGGCGGCGUGCUUAACACAUGCAAGUCGAGCGGUAAGGCCCUUUCGGGGGUACACGAGCGGCGAACGGGUGAGUAACACGUGGGUGACCUGCCCUCAGCCCUGGGAUAAGCCUGGGAAACCGGGUCUAAUACUGGAUAUGACUCCAUGACGCAUGUUGUGGGGUGGAAAGCCUUGUGCGGCUGAGGAUGGGCCCGCGGCCUAUCAGCUUGUUGGUGGGGUGAUGGCCACCAAGGCGACGACGGGUAGCCGGCCUGAGAGGGCGACCGGCCACACUGGGACUGAGACACGGCCCAGACUCCUACGGGAGGCAGCAGUGGGGAAUCUUGCGCAAUGGGCGAAAGCCUGACGCAGCGACGCCGCGUGAGGGAUGACGGCCU